rnacentral:lncRNA from 1 species
CUGCACCCACACCAUGCAGGAGUUUCCAAGCCAGGAAUCGAACCUGAGCUACAGGACUGAUAACAACACUGGAUCUUUAACCUGCUGCACCACAGGGGAACUCCUCAUUAUCCUUGUUUUACAGUAAGGAAACUGACGCUCACAUACUUAGAGUAACUGCUCAAAGUUGCACAGUUAGUGUAUCGGCAUUGUUAGCAUUUUAACUCAAUGGCUGGCUCCAAAGUCUCCACCAGACUUUCCCUACAUGUGCUGUGACUGUAGUAUAUGUAUUCCGUGUAUUUAUGAUGAAACUAGAGAAAAGGGUAAAUGGUUCCUGAGAAAUCGGGAAGCGAGGAAGCUGAAGACACACAGGACUCAAAGAGAUAGGUCAGAUGGGAUGUGAAAACAGCACAUCGCAGCUGAUACUUUGAUUCUUUAACAGGAUUCUGGCCACCCCUCCAUCCUUCCUUUACAGGGCGAAGGCAAGCUCAGGAUGGAGCAGUUUAGGUCUGCAGGGGAAGGCCAAUAAGUGAAUGUAGCUGGACAGGGGAAAGGGUUGAAAUGCAGGAAUAAAUGCAGCUCUCAACAAAAAUAGGAAGUAAACCUGACUCAGGGGAAGGGAAACAAGUGAUAAGGCUAAUGCCUUCAUCCCAGGGCAAUAAACAUUGCCCUUCCAGCAUCAAUAGACUAAGCGAAUAUUUCCAUGGCUCUCUUCUCUCUCUAGAUAAGGAAAUCCUCUGUAUAAAACUGAGAUACACCCAGGCCCAAAUGUAAACAUCCAUGUCAGUGUCCCUGUGGGGAUCACAUAUGUACCUUUUUCUCUCCAUGAGGGUUUCACCAUGAAAACAUAAUUCCUUUCAUUCCCAACAAAUAGGAUACAUAAAGAACACCAUGAGUGUUUUUGGCUUCUGUACAAGUCAACACAAAAAAUAGAUAUGAAAUCAUUUUCCUUUUAUCCAACUCAGAUGCUGCAGAGACUCUAGACAAACUAAUGAGCCUAGUGCCAACCCAUCAAUCAAAGGGUACAGGGGGCCAGCCAUGGAUUUCUUCCCUGAUGUUCAGCAGGCCCAAGUCUCCUGGUGUCCCUUAUAAAUUGUUCGCUUACCCAUAAGUUACUGCUAGACUGGGAUAAAACCCAGGUCACUGCUGUUUCUUGAAUUUUUAAACCCCAUUCUCCCUUCUGCUUCUCUGUAGGAGAAAGUAGAAAAAGUUGAAGAUAAAUAAAUUUUUAAAAAAAUCUUGCACUGCAAAUUAUUCAUAUUCCAAGUCUUUAGUUGGGCAGGAUCUAAAUUCCUAUACCUCUGUUUCUCUGAGCCCUGUGUAUUAUUCAGAUGGAUGUGGAAAUUGAACCCCAGACUAGAGGCAGAGAAGGGAAAACAGCUAUUUUCUCUUUUACCAUGGAAACCCUGUGCACCACGGGGUACUAAGGAGAAAUGAACAGCUUUAAUAACUUAGGGGGAUGACUGCCUCUACCUUAGCUGGAAUAAUGUAGUUACAGUGCAGAAUAAAUCAUGGUGUCUAAUGCAGACUGUCUCUUGAAGGCUCAGGUAAGCUUCUUGCUCACUUAAAACAAAUCAGCAUGGUUUAUUUCCAAGCAGAUUAAAUAUUUUUUCACAAGAUUUAAUCACCUCUCUAGACCUUAGGACAUUCAAUGUGCAUACCCUCAGAGGUAAGGAAACAUUAGGUAGACUUUGCUUUUGCAUGUGAUGCUUCUGGCCUAAAUAAAUAAUAAUGCCAUUAAAAUAUUUGUCAUUAUUUUUAAAGACAAUAUAUCAGAAAUUCGUGCAAAUAUUUCAAUACCUAACCCACCCAGAAUGUGUAAUCAGUAUAAAGUCUCUUUCUCCUUUCCUUACACACACACACUCUCUCUCUCUCUCUCUCUCUCACACACACACACACACACACACACACACACACACACCACACGUUUUGGAAAUAAAUAGUUCCAAAUUAACAGGCAUUUGCAAUCAGUUUUUCAAAAACUCAACCAACAGCCUGUUUCUUCCCAUCUUCUCCCCCUUUCUCUUCUUCUUGUCCAUCCUUCUAAUAUGAUUUAAGUGGAAAAGAAUGUAACCACAUCUACGUUAGGCCCUAGCACUUACUCUUUUUCAGAACUCUGUUUCACACGGAAUGACCUCAUCACAAGUUAAUCUUCCAUUGCUGCUAAAAUAAAUCUCUAUUGAAUGAGGACAUUUGUUUCCCUCCCUUCAAUAGGAGUUUAAAAUAUUUAAAAAGUAAACUCGGGAAGGAAAUGUCUCAGAUGCAUCUGGGUUCCCAGAGAACAGCAUCAAAAUGCUGCCUGCUUAUGAGAUAUGGCUGAAGAUGGUUAUCAAACUGGACUUCUGCACCUCUUCCCUUUCCCUGUUAACUUCCUGUUGUGCAGGAUUCCUCCAUUCCUAGGGAGGGUGAGCCCUGCUCCUUGGAACACACUGGCUAACUUGGGCUCUUCUGUUCUACUUGGUGGAAUCUCAUUGGCAGUUCCAGGCCCAGGUGUCAGACUGGGAAUGUAUCCUCCCUGGGCAGGCAUCUGGCCCUGGGGCCUUGGCAAACCAACUGUGACAGGUUCCUCCAACAGCUGCAGGGGAAGGCGGAGCUUCCAGGUGAUUACAAAAUCCUGCUUUCUGGCCUGCUCACAUGUUUGGAUUGGAGCCAUUUCCCUAGAACAGGGCUGAACCAAACAGGUCUUUUGGAUCACUGACCACAGCUCUGUGUCUAUGGGCUGAAGUCCCCUCUGAAAUUAUGAAACGUUUCCUUAUCUUUCUCAGGCCACUCAGACCCAAAAUUUUCACAGAUAUACCCUGGGAAAUAGGAGAUCCUCCAUUGGCCUGAAAUAAGGCUGGAAUUUCACUCUUCAUUGUAAAUCAUUGUUAAAUCUGAUAGCUCUGCUUUGAAAAGCAGGAGUUGAUUCUAACCCUGGCUAGAAAAUAUCACUUUUAUGCAAUAUUGGGCAUGUCCAUGCAAUAUGCAUUCAACUACAUGUGUACACCAGAUGAAGAUAUGAAUCAAGGAGAAGUAUACUUAAUGUAUUUAUAUUUUCCAAAGACAUAACACCAUGUCCUGGAGAAA